GCUAAACAGCCGAUCAAAAAGCCAGUGAAAUGUGAUUCGUAUUAUCUGUACUGGCCCAGCCUCUUCAGACACAAGCUGCACUCACAUGUUCAAGGUCGUUUUUGAUGUAAGAAAAUGCAAAAGAUCCCAUGAUUCUUUCACUACAAGUAGGAGUUUUAUCAUCAAGAUUCUUCACUGGUCCCUGGGCAAUCAGUUGUUUAUCAAAGCAAAGGAUAAAAAGAGACAUUUCAGAGAACAACUAGAAAACGUCCCAGGCCAACCUGCAGCUCACCAUCCAGAGUGUCUCCAACAGAGCAUCCUCACGGCUCCAAAAUGCUUCUUCCUUGGUGGUUAAAGAAAUACUCCACCAUCUGCCAACCUGACUACCGGAUCCAGAAAUUUACCAUUGCCUUCAACUCUUCCUUCUUUCAUUUGCAUUUCUCCUAAGUAGCUCUUGAAUCCACCUGUCUUCCUCUCUAUCUCUGUGGUCACUUCCCUGAGCCCAGGCCACCAUCAUCUGUCACCUAGACAACAACCACCACUUGCUAACUGGAUGUCCAGUUAAGCCACAGUCUAAUCCAAAUACACACUGUCACGGUGGAAUUAUCUAGAAGCCAAAAAGGCUUCAAGGGCUUCAGCAGAGUCCUUUAAUGUAGUAAACAAGGCUACAAUCUGCAUUCUUUAUAAGAAGCCAGUCAUUGUAAAUAUGGUGCUUUCCUGUGUUCUGCAAGUCCUUCUAGAGAAUUAUUAAACUUGAUGGGCGAGGGGGUCAUAGAAAACCCCAAAUUUGUGGUCGGCUGGGCAGAAGUGUGAGGAAUCUGAGGACCCCACUUGUGGCUGGUGACUGAAUUUGGGGCAGUCUCAUGGGACUGAACUCUUAGCUUGUGGGGUCUACACUAACACUAGGUGUGUCAUAACUGAAUAGGACAGCAGCUGCAGUCAGAGAAUUGAUGUUGGAACAUAAAUGCAUUCUUCGUGCUGGGGAGAGCUUGAGUGUAGAUGCUACUUUUACCUCCUUAGCAGCUAACAGAGUCUAGCACAGAGGAGGCUUGUCAUACCCCUUUCCUGAAUGAAUGAAUGAAAGAACAAACUAAUAAAUGGAGGCUGGAGUGUUUUGCAGGACUCAUCUGCAGCAGUCAAGGAUGUUUAUGAAUGGAAGAAUGGCACCAGGCGUGAAUCAAUUAGUCCUACAAAAACCAUAAAUGGCUGAUGGGUUGCAACUCAAGAGAGGCAGCAACUGCUUCCCCACCCUGCCAUUCCGUCAGGCUUUGCCCAUCCCGUUAGUGUUCUCUAGGGAGAUGAAAACCAUAUUAUGCAAGGAAUAAAUAUUUCAAGCAAGUUGUCUGUUUCCUUCUCUGCUGUUUUGUAUUUGGUCGAAAAUUAACGCUAAGAAAAAUACUCA
rnacentral:lncRNA from 1 species